GAUGAACGCUGGCGGCGUGCCUAAUACAUGCAAGUCGAGCGAACAGACGAGGAGCUUGCUCCUCUGACGUUAGCGGCGGACGGGUGAGUAACACGUGGAUAACCUACCUCUAAGACUGGGAUAACUUCGGGAAACCGGAGCUAAUACCGGAUAAUAUAUUGAACCGCAUGGUUCAAUAGUGAAAGACGGUUUUGCUGUCACUUUUAGAUGGAUCCGCGCCGCAUUAGCUAGUUGGUAAGGUAACGGCUUACCAAGGCAACGAUGCGUAGCCGACCUGAGAGGGUGAUCGGCCACACUGGAACUGAGACACGGUCCAGACUCCUACGGGAGGCAGCAGUAGGGAAUCUUCCGCAAUGGGCGAAAGCUUGACGGAGCAACGCCGCGUGAGUGAUGAAGGUCUUCGGAUCGUAAAACUCUGUUAUUAGGGAAGAACAAAUGUGUAAGUAACUAUGCACGUCUUGACGGUACCUAAUCAGAAAGCCACGGCUAACUACGUG
rnacentral:rRNA from 1 species